CCUACGGGUGGCAGCAGUGAGGAAUAUUGGUCAAUGGCCGGAAGGCUGAACCAGCCAAGCCGCGUGAAGGACGAAGGUGCCAAGCAUUGUAAACUUCUUUUGUCACGGACCAAAAUCAGGCUCGAGAGCCUGACCGAGGGUACUUGAAGAAAAAGCAUCGGCUAACUCCGUGACAGCCGCCGCGGUAAUACGGGGGAUGCGAACGUUAUCCGGAUUUAUUGGGGUUAAAGGGUUCGUAGGCGGACUUUUAAGUCAGCGGUAAAAACCCGGGGCUCAACCCCGGCGAGCCGUUGAGACUGGUGGUCUGGAGAGGGCGAGAGGUAUGCGGAAUGCGCAGUGUAGCGGUGAAAUGCUUAGAUAUUGCGCAGAACUCCGAUUGCGAAGGCAGCAUACCGGCGGCGAUCUGACGCUGAGGCACGAAAGCGUGGGUAUCGAACAGGAUUAGAUACCCCAGUAGUC
rnacentral:rRNA from 1 species